rnacentral:rRNA from 13 species
GCAGGGAGUAACUAUGACUCUCUUAAGGUAGCCA